GAUGCCGGUUGUCCAAGGAUGUG
rnacentral:siRNA from 1 species